rnacentral:rRNA from 1 species
GACGAACGCUGGCGGCGUGCUUAACACAUGCAAGUCGAACGCUGAAGCUUGGUGCUUGCACUGGGUGGUUGAGUGGCGAACGGGUGAGUAAUACGGGAGUAACCUGCCCUGGCCUCUGGGAUAAGCCUGGGAAACUGGGUCUAAUACUGGAUAUGACAUGCCACUGCAUGGUGGUGUGUGGAAGGGGUUUUACUGGUUUUGGAUGGGCUCACGGCCUAUCAGCUUGUUGGUGGGGUAAUGGCCUACCAAGGCGACGACGGGUAGCCGGCCUGAGAGGGUGACCGGCCACACUGGGACUGAGACACGGCCCAGACUCCUACGGGAGGCAGCAGUGGGGAAUAUUGCACAAUGGGCGGAAGCCUGAUGCAGCGACGCCGCGUGAGGGAUGACGGCCUUCGGGUUGUAAACCUCUUUCAGCACGGAAGAAGCGAGAGUGACGGUACGUGCAGAAGAAGCGCCGGCUAACUACGUG